rnacentral:tRNA from 1 species
UACAGUGUGGCUCAGUGGUAGAGCAUUUGCCAGGCAGGCAUGAAGACCUGGGUUUGAUCUCCAGCACCCAAG